GAUGAAGAACGUAGCGAAAUGCGAUAAGUAGUGUGAAUUGCAGAAUUCAGUGAAUCAUCGAAUCUUUGAACGCACAUUGCGCCCUUUGGUAUUCCUUAGGGCAUGCCUGUUCGAGCGUCAUUUAACACCUUCAAGCUCCGCUUGGUGUUGGGCGUCUGUCUGCUCACGCGGACUCGCCUCAAAAUCAUUGGCGGCCGGUACAUUGGCUUCGAGCGCAGCAGAAACGCGAACUCGAGGACGGUGGAUCAGCUCCCAGAAGCAAACCCCCCAAUUUUGACCUCGGAUCAGGUAGGGAUACCCGCUGAACUUAAGCAUAUCAAUAAGCGGAGGA
rnacentral:misc_RNA from 1 species